rnacentral:rRNA from 1 species
GGACGGGUGAGUAACGCGUGGGUAACCUGCCUCAUACAGGGGGAUAACAGUUAGAAAUGACUGCUAAUACCGCAUAAGACCACAGCACCGCAUGGUGCAGGGGUAAAAACUCCGGUGGUAUGAGAUGGACCCGCGUCUGAUUAGGUAGUUGGUGGGGUAACGGCCUACCAAGCCGACGAUCAGUAGCCGACCUGAGAGGGUGACCGGCCACAUUGGGACUGAGACACGGCCCAA